GGCACAACUCUAAUUGCUCCUGUAAGUCGCUCUGGAUAAGAGAUAAUAAGUCUAAAUGACUAAAAUGUAAAUAUAAUCGGAUAACCUGGUCCUUUGAUACUCAACUGCUGCUAGCUGUGUCUCUGUGUAGAGGUGUGUUAGUGGAGCAGCCUGUCUCUGUGUAGAGGUGUGUUAGUGGAGCAGCCUGUCUCUGUGUAGACGUAUGUUAAGUGUUAAGUGCUCUGUACUUUAGCCAAGUGUGGAAUAAUUGUUGGUUAUUCUGUCCACGUUGUUGUGUUGUCACAUUGGGUAGACUGUGUGGAACCAUGUGGAUUUUUUCUACCCAUUAUAUUUCCAUGGUCCCCCCCACCCGCCUCUGUUUUCACAGUAACUGCAUACGACAUUUAUAAACACUACAUUGUAGAAUAUGAAGCAUGUUAGCUUUCAUGUUAAUCAAGUAACAGAAUUGAGUAGGAUAUCACUGUGGCAAAGACAUUCAGAAUUUACCAUUCACACUACUUCUAACCGUCAUAAUAAGUUUAUGCUGCCAUCCUAGUAAAUUUCAGUAACCCUUCUGCCAGUUUGUGAAAGAAGUCUAUUGUGUAAUGUAAAUAUUGGUAUAUAUUGCCGUUUUUUCUGUAAAUAGUGCACCCACUGUCCUCAAUUGUUGAUAUGAAUCUAAUGGCAUAUUUUUAUAUACUUGUGUGUGUUUUUUCUCCUCUGGCAUGCGCUGUCAGUCACGUUUAAAUUAUAACUGCCACAAAAUGACAACAAGAGAAAGGAAACGGCGUCUAUGGUUAUACUUCAGUUGUCAUGGUUACGUUUUCUUCCUGUAGCUGUUUCUGUUUCGUCACUUCGGGUUCUUCUUUGGAAUUAAAUAAUUUCACUGGUGCCAGACUA